rnacentral:tRNA from 1 species
UCCUGGCUGGCUCAGUUCGCAGAGCGUAAGACUCUUGAUCUUGGGGUCUUGGGUUUGAGCCCCACAUUAGGUG